AUAUUUCACAAUGGGGGAAACCCUGAUGCAGCGACGCCGCGUGAGUGAAGAAGUAUUUCGGUAUGUAAAGCUCUAUCAGCAGGGAAGAAAAUUACGGUACUUGAUUAAGAAGCCCCGUCUAACUACGUGCCAGCAUCCGCGGUAAUACGUAGGGGGCAAGCGUUAUCCGGAUUUACUGGGUGUAAGGGGAGCGUAGACGGCAGCACAAGUCUGAAGUGAAAUGCCGGGGCUUAACCCCGGAACUGCUUUGGAAACUGUGCAGCUAGAGUGCAGGAGAGGUAAGUGGAAUUCCUAGUGUAGCGGUGAAAUGCGUAGAUAUUAGGAGGAACACCAGUGGCGAAGGCGGCUUACUGGACUGUAACUGACGUUGAGGCUCGAAAGCGUGGGGAGCAAACAG
rnacentral:rRNA from 1 species